CAGUCGCCACGGGAAUACGUAGGGUGCAAGCGUUGUCCGGAAUUAUUGGGCGUAAAGAGCUCGUAGGCGGUUUGUCGCGUCUGCUGUGAAAACCCGAGGCUCAACCUCGGGCCUGCAGUGGGUACGGGCAGACUAGAGUGCGGUAGGGGAGAUUGGAAUUCCUGGUGUAGCGGUGGAACGCGCAGAUAUCAGGAGGAACACCGAUGGCGAAGGCAGAUCUCUGGGCCGUAACUGACGCUGAGGAGCGAAAGCAUGGGGAGCGAACAGGAUUAGAUACCCCCGUAGUCCCUGUCUCUUAUAC
rnacentral:rRNA from 1 species